ensembl:lncRNA
GGAGAUUCUCACAAACACGAUGGUAUUUCUAUGGCCCCCACAAGGGCCACGGUACUCAUCUGAAGUAACUGAUACCAUUUUUAAAAAUGUAAGGGAGUAUGGAGGUAGUUUUGUGGUUAAAUAUGUUUCCAUAUCUCCUAGAUACAGGAAAGACACUUCAAAACCUUAUUUCUUAUGAUACAUUUUUGACUGUCUGCUUUGCCAUAGAUGGAUGUGUUUCUAUGGUCUAUAGUAGUAAAGCCCCCUCUACAUGUUUUCCUCAUUUACAAAGCAGUACUGGGGACAUUAACGUGCUUUCCUACACAUUGUUCAGGUAUCCUUGAUUCAAAUUGCUUUUCCAUAAAACUAAACCACCUACCGGUUACUUUGUCCUGUCUGCCUUUAGUUCCUCAGUUGAUGUUGUAGUUGAUAUUGUGAUGUUGAUAUUGUGGUGGUGAUUUGAAACCAAGAUGAGAGGCACCACCCCCAUUCAUAGUUCACUACUGCUUAGUGACAGAUACAAACCAUUACUAACACAGGAUAAUAACACAAACAGUACAGCUAUGACUACACCCUCAACAAUCUGCCGUUCAGACAAGGUGCCUAUUCAUGAAGGGACGAGAAAUACAACAUUAUAUCCUGUUAGACUAGUUUAUUGCUUUUCUUAUACUCGCUAUAUCGUCUUGUGUUUAUUUGAGAGCUCUGAGCUCUGAGCUCCGACAACUGGCACAAGGUAAUUUGAGAUAAUACAACGUUUCGAUUCUUUGAGGUAAGAGACCCAGAAGGGAGGGAGGGUGACCUCACUACGGCACCAGUCUAGAGUGUGUGUAGACUACAUGUGUUGGUUCACCUGAUCUAGAAAAGGACUGGAGCACACAGCAAUACGAAUAUUAGUGUGGAGUGAUAACAUUACUUGUUGUGAGAGUCUCCUUUACUUGUUGUGAGAGUCUCCUUUUCCCCGGCUGAGCUGAGAUGGACGUGUUGUGAGAGU